CCCAACGCCUCCUUCUCCAGCCAGCGACCUACCAAACUGCAAUUUCAACUCUACUGUUGAGUUGUGGACAGGGCUCCUUUUCUGCCUAGCUUCUGACACCCACGACCCUAUAGCCCUAUGGCCAUGGGGCCACACUUUCCUAGGUCUCUGUUGUAUGUCUGUGCUACAUGUCUCCUUCCCUGGGCAGCAGGCAGCCUUCUUGGGCUUUGAGCAGAGCAGAGCCCCUCCCCAAGGCCUGGGUGGGUGUGAUUAGCAUGGGAGAAACAGGUGUGCCAGAGCCGUCUCUGCAAGACCUCCAUGACCUCAAGGUCACCUGCAGGGUCAUCUCCACAUCCUUAGGAAGAGAGAUCAGUUACCCUCUGACCAGGGACUGCAGAGCUGUUGUGGAAAGCAAAGCAGCGCACGCAGGCUAGCACAUCUGAGAUGGAGCAGACCGCGUUCUAGACCCGCUCGGUGGCACUGUGGCAGAUUCUCCUUCUGCACGGCUCCCAGGCUGGUCAGCAAGGAUUCCCAGGCUCUGAGGUUGUCUGACAAGGAAGAAACCAUGAGAGCAUAGGAAGAUGCCUCUCAGGGAAGAAAACUGAUGGAAUGUCCCAUCUGGGAAGAGUGGAGGAGGGAUGGGGAGCACGAGCCAAUGGCAGGCUUGGGAAGGCCCUGAAACUCUGGUGGAGCAUUUUGCUUGUCUUUUCCUUUUCCUUCUUGUGGUAGGCUAUGGCCCAAGAUGGAGGAGACAUAAUGCUUACUUAUCUGAGGCAGGGAGGGCUAAGUGCUGCCUAGGUAGACUUGGGAGAAGCCAAGCUCUCCUGGUCCCUUGAAUUGUCAGCUCAGCUACAAAGCCCAAGUUUCUGAAUAUGCCUUGCCUUGUGCCAGGCCCUGGGCCUCAAGAAAAGUGGUUGCUGACUGCAGGGAGCAGAGUUGUGGUAUCAAAAACAGUUGGAAAGCGGGCUCAUCCUCCCUUGCUUUGAACUUCCAGGGUCGCUCAGAGCCUCAAGGCUGAAAAGCCAACUCCCAACACAGCCCACUAGAACCUAUUGCCUUGGCCUCACAUUACAGGUAGCUCCAUCUCCAAUUCCAUUUCCUUGCUAUGCUCUGGUCACAUGGCUUCUCUCUUUGUCUUCUCACCACAGGGCCUUUGCAUAUGCUGCGCUCUCUCUGGGGUGGGGGUCCACAACUUCUAUGAGUUAAUGUCUAUUCAACCCUUUGGUUCUAGGUCAAACACUAAGACUAGAUGUCUCUCCCGAUUUGCCAAACCAUGUGAGCUUCCCCUGCCCCAGUCCUCCACUUAAUGCUUAGCUUUUCAGAUCUAUUUUUUUCCUGGAUGAUGGUUUACAUCCCUUUCUUUCCACACUAGGGUUGCUGGAUAUGUCCUCAAUACAUGUUCCCAGAAAGAAUGGUAAAUACAGGCUCUCAGUUCGAAUCUUGCUGAGCUUUGUUCUUUUCUUCACCCUGGGACUAGAGUCAGGAUUUGAAGUGAUAGGAGACUCCUGUGCAUCGUGUGUUAAGCAUAGAUUAAAACGGGAGUGAUGGAAGAGGUUGCUGAGGGACAGAAGGGCUUUUGGUGGUGGGGACAGAUAAGUGGGUAAAGACUUGGGGAUGGGAAAGUGCCAUGCAUUUAUAAACACAGGGUAGACAGCCUAGCUUGCUGUGAUAUUUCUCUGAACCCUCUGAACUUCACCAUUUUCUUUGACCCAGGAAACAGAGGCUUGUGGAGUGCUUGAGUGCGGAGAGCAGAAGCCGCCCGAAGGAAGUGAAGUAUUGGGUGACUGCGCAUUGUUGACGUAGGUUGAGCCAUGUCAAAAACCUUAAUGUUUCAGCCUGGUGGAAGUAGCAAAGUCUCCCCUGGGUGAGGCUCAGAGGGCUGGCAAAGCCUUCCUCCUGGUCCAAGGGACAACAAGUGUCCAGUGUAUACAAAAGCAGCAAUUGCUGCUCCACGUCCUGGAUGAUUACAGCCCAAGACUGCUCACCUGCAGAGACCUUCGACGGUGACCAGCUAAGUCCUGGCUCUGCAUUGUGCAUAGUGAACUCUUCUGCUCACUGUGGUAAUGUGUGCGUCAGAGCACGCACACACCCCAUUUGUCCUUAGCUUUCCUGUGUCCACCUACCUGUGGGUCUGUUCUUUUUUCAUUCCCUUGCUGCCGGUAGUCAGGGUUCCAGACCCAAUCUUCAUGGGUCGUAGCAGGUGGUAACUAUUCGCUCCUUCCUGGGAUUGAUUGCCUGUAGGUGUUGCCAGCCCAGGCUGGCCCUUGCUUGACGACUGUGUCAGAAACACAGCCACGUUGUCCUUUACUGGAGGUGGGUGG
rnacentral:lncRNA from 1 species